CAGCCGCCACGGGAAUACGGAGGGCGCGAGCGUUACCCGGAUUUACUGGGCGUAAAGGGCGUGUAGGCGGCCUGGGGCGUCCCAUGUGAAAGGCCACGGCUCAACCGUGGAGGAGCGUGGGAUACGCUCAGGCUAGAGGGUGGGAGAGGGUGGUGGAAUUCCCGGAGUAGCGGUGAAAUGCGCAGAUACCGGGAGGAACGCCGAUGGCGAAGGCAGCCACCUGGUCCACUUCUGACGCUCAUGCACGAAAGCGUGGGGAGCAAACAGGAUUAGAGACCCCAGUAGUCCCUGUCUCUUAUAC
rnacentral:rRNA from 1 species